GACGAACGCUGGCGGCGUGCUUAACACAUGCAAGUCGAACGGUAAGGCCCUUCGGGGUACACGAGUGGCGAACGGGUGAGUAACACGUGGGUGAUCUGCCCUGCACUUCGGGAUAAGCCUGGGAAACUGGGUCUAAUUCCGGAUAGGACCACUGCCUGCAUGGGUGGUGGUGGAAAGCCUUUGCGGUGUGGGAUGGGCCCGCGGCCUAUCAGCUUGUUGGUGGGGUGAUGGCCUACCAAGGCGCCGACGGGUAGCCGGCCUGAGAGGGUGACCGGCCACACUGGGACUGAGAUACGGCCCAGACUCCUACGGGAGGCAGCAGUGGGGAAUAUUGCACAAUGGGCGCAAGCCUGAUGCAGCGACGCCGCGUGAGGGAUGACGGCCUUCGGGUUGUAAACCUCUUUCAGCACCGACGAAGCGCAAGUGACGGUAGGUGCAGAAGAAGGACCGGCCAACUACGUGCCAGCAGCCGCCGUAACAC
rnacentral:rRNA from 1 species